rnacentral:rRNA from 1 species
GACGAACGCUGGCGGCGUGCUUAACACAUGCAAGUCGAACGAAGAGCGAUGGAAGCUUGCUUCUAUCACUCUUAGUGGCGAACGGGUGAGUAACGCGUAAUCAACCUGCCCUUCAGAGGGAGACAACAGUUGGAAACGACUGCUAAUACCGCAUACGAUCUAAUCUCGGCAUCGAGGAAAGAUGAAAGGUGGCCUCUAUUUAUAAGCUAUCACUGAAGGAGGGGAUUGCGUCUGAUUAGCUAGUUGGAGGGGUAACGGCCCACCAAGGCGAUGAUCAGUAGCCGGUCUGAGAGGAUGAACGGCCACAUUGGGACUGAGACACGGCCCAGACUCCUACGGGAGGCAGCAGUGGGGAAUCUUCCGCAAUGGACGAAAGUCUGACGGGGCAACGCCGCGUGAGUGAUGACGGCCGUCGGGUUGUAAAGCUCGGUUAAUCGGGACGAAAGGCCUUCUUGCGAACAGUUAGAAGGAUUGACGGUACCGGAAGAGAAAGCCACGGCUAACUACGUG